AUAUAAUGAUGAGGAACUAGAUAGGGACAACAGAAACUCAGUUUAGUGACGAGGAAAGUCUUUUAAGCCCGUUUUUAGUAGAACUUGGGCAUCUUCUGAUU
rnacentral:snoRNA from 24 species